UCAGCGGGGAGGAGGUUAAGUUUGAGAAACCUGUUAGGCAACCCUUGCCUGCCCAGUGAUAUGAUGUUGAGUCUUUUUCUGGCUGGAGAUCACACUUGGGAGCUGUCGGUGCAGAAGGAACUUGAAGUCAUGACUUGGAUGAGACACGCAGGGAAAGAGCAAUAAGAGCAGAGACAAAGGGCAGUGCAAAGACUGGGCCCUGAGCACUCCAACAGCGGGAGCUGAGCGAAGAGAGGAGGAAGAACAAGAGACAGAACACAGGAGCAGCUGGUGAAGCACCCAGAGAACUAACAGGGAAUGGCAUUUUGGAAUCCAGCGUGUAACAUUUGAAUGGACAAUGGCUGGAAUGGAAGAAAACAUACCUUGGUCUGGUGGAGAUGUCUCUGCUUUUGUGGAGUUCAAAGGCAUGUCACUGAUCCUCUUCAUAUUCAGAACGGCGGGUGUUCUGGCUGGGAAGAGACGCUGUACCACCUUUCUAGAGGAGAAAACAGGCCUUCUCAUGAGUAUGGGGAUGGAGUGGAAAAGUCAAUUCAAAGCCCCUUUCUAUCACUUAGCUGUUCCGGGAUUUCAAGAUGUUUAAGACACCAUUGUACGUUUCUCUUCUCAGAUAAGAGAACUAGUUUGAGAUCAUGAGAAAUAACCUAUCGAUAAGUAAAAUAGCUAGUAAAAUGCCUAGCUCAAUAAAUGUUCAUGAGCAA